AUGCUUCCAUGCUGAUGAUGCUCAUUAAAAAAAAUAAUGCAGUAAUUAAAUUUGUGACUGAACUCCUUGGAGGAGAAUUGUAUAUCUCUUACUCUGUUUUACCUUCGUUCUGCCAUAUAUUUCAUGUUAUAGCAGUCUCGGAUGAUGACCAAGCAUAUGUUGUUCAUUUUAAGAACACUUUCACUGCAGAUUUGAUAAAAGACAAAGAAGGUACCAAUGUGAGAUUUCUAAAGAUAGCUACAGCACUGGACCCAAGAUUUAAUAAUCUGAACUGCCUUC